GAUGAACGCUGGCGGCGUGCCUAAUACAUGCAAGUCGAGCGAACAGACGAGGAGCUUGCUCCUCUGACGUUAGCGGCGGACGGGUGAGUAACACGUGGAUAACCUACCUAUAAGACUGGGAUAACUUCGGGAAACCGGAGCUAAUACCGGAUAAUAUAUUGAACCGCAUGGUUCAAUAGUGAAAGACGGUUUUGCUGUCACUUAUAGAUGGAUCCGCGCCGCAUUAGCUAGUUGGUAAGGUAACGGCUUACCAAGGCAACGAUGCGUAGCCGACCUGAGAGGGUGAUCGCCCACACUGGAACUGAGACACGGUCCAGACUCCUACGGGAGGCAGCAGUAGGGAAUCUUACGCAAUGGGCGAAAGCCUGACGGAGCAACGCCGCGUGAGUGAUGAAGGUCUUCGGAUCGUAAAACUCUGUUAUUAGGGAAGAACAAAUGUGUAAGUAACUAUGCCCGUCUUGACGGUACCUAAUCAGAAAGCCACGGCUAACUACGUG
rnacentral:rRNA from 1 species